AAGCACCCAAGGGAAGAAGAGAGGGAGAGAAAGAUGCUCCAAGUCCUUUUGGUGGUCUUCUUCUUCUCCUUCCUUCCUUCUUCUCCUUCUCCUUCACCACCAACUCCCAAGUGGCCUCACGCUCCUCGUGGUUGCUCCAAAGCACCUUUACAUACGGAAUGUCUCGAUUCCGCAGUUUCUUUACCUCGCGAGCCAAGAUCUUCACGGGUUGCUCCUCAAAGCUCAAAUCGUUCCGUAACUCCAUAGGUGUAGCAUCCAG
rnacentral:lncRNA from 1 species